AAUAUGGAUGGUACCAUAAUUUUUUUUGAACCACAUCUAAAUUUCUCAUUUGCUUCUCUGUUUACAUGACCCACAAUGCACUUGAUUUCCAAACUAAUAGAUUUGGAAACAAUAGUAGUUUUGGUUUGUUUUUAUUCAACAACAGUUGCAUAUUCUUGCUAUAAUCUGUGAUAUGGUCUGUUCUGGUUAUCAUGCUUCUUAAUUUCCAAUAUAUUGAUCCAAUAAUUACAGCAUGGCCUGAUAGACAUUCAAAUCAAUUUGUUCGGGCUGAGAACCAUUCUAUAUAAUACUCACCAUUGUUUCGUUUCUUUUGUUCUAAGACAAAGGGUAUAGGAAUGUUUGUAUUCAGAUAGAAGGUUGAAUUAGAUGCAUUCUUCGAGAAAAAUUUACAUCCUUCUACUAAUUCCUCUCUUUGUUUUGUUUGUUUGGCUAUUUCAGAACGACAACGAGAUACACCUCCUUGAUGAAAAUAUAUGGGCAGUUGUGUAGUCAUCACUGAGGAAGAUAUCGUAUGUAGCUUACUAUAUUUUUGGACUGCCAAAACAUUAGAAGGAAAGUGCGCCUUUGCUUUGGUCUUGCUGUUGUUAUGAGGUCCAUUUGUAAAGAGCACGGUCCCAUCCUUCCAUUAUCAUGGUCCCAUUCGGGGGCAACACCUAACCAGCGAUAAUGAGGUGUCGUUGGCCAUAGGUGCAGUUGUCCACAACUAGGGGUGGGAUUGUUAGUUUGUUACAACAUAUGGAUGAUAUGCACAUGGAAGGCUGAUAUAAACAAGCUAUAAUUGUUUGGGCUAUGAUUCGCAACAUAGAUUGGGGAUUUUAAAAUGUUAGACAAGAAAGUUAUCGGCCUGGUCGCCGCUUGAGUCGGAUGAGGUCAUGGUUACUUUACCUGGUGAGUUACUGCCCAGGAAGAGCACAAUCCACCACCGCUAUAUAGCAGAUGGCGCUAUCAAGGACGUCGUCAUAUUGACCGCCGAUGACCUACAUCCUUUCGCUUUCCCUCAUGUUUUGCAGAAUAGAAGUGGCCUCAAAGCCACUUGAAUGAAAUCUUGUGUCUUGCGAUGUGCCAAUGCCAUGAAUUGGAUGUUUGUAGUAUAUUUUUUGGACGCCGCUAACUGCCACACGUGUGGGCGUUAAGGAAUCUGCUCACACGUUC